AGUGUGAUUAAUAACAAGGAGGAAACCUGCUUGUUGGAUUAUUAAUUUCCCAUCCCCUUUACCUUAUUUUUUUUCUUUGCCAUAUUCCUGAUGCUUUUUCUUCUGCCUUUUUUCUUUUUGCCAUUUGCAAAGCCUCUCCACCCCUCCUUUUCCCUCCUGUGGCCCACACUUUUGGCCAUGGAGGUAACCACUAGCCCUUUACACUGACGCCUGGCCACCCAACCUCGUGCCGGCUGGCUUCACACCUGGGGGUAAUCAGGAAGCAGCCGCUGCCCCUGACACAAUGGCUCAGCCUUACGCUUCGGCCCAGUUUGCUCCCCCGCAGAACGGUAUCCCCGCGGAAUACACGGCCCCUCAUCCCCACCCCGCGCCAGAGUACACAGGCCAGACCACGGUUCCCGAGCACACGUUAAACCUGUACCCUCCCGCCCAGACGCACUCCGAGCAGAGCCCGGCGGACACGAGCGCCCAGACCGUCUCCGGCACCGCCACACAGACAGAU
rnacentral:sRNA from 1 species